GUGACCUGCGGAAGGAUCAUUACCGAGUGCGGGCCCUCGUGGCCCAACCUCCCACCCUUGUCUCUAUACACCCGUUGCUUUGGCGGGCCCACCGGGGCCACCUGGUCGCCGGGGGACGUUCGUCCCCGGGCCCGCGCCCGCCGAAGCGCUCUGUGAACCCUGAUGAAGAUGGGCUGUCUGAGUACUAUGAAAAUUGUCAAAACUUUCAACAAUGGAUCUCUUGGUUCCGGCAUCGAUGAAGAACGCAGCGAAAUGCGAUAAGUAAUGUGAAUUGCAGAAUUCCGUGAAUCAUCGAAUCUUUGAACGCACAUUGCGCCCCCUGGCAUUCCGGGGGGCAUGCCUGUCCGAGCGUCAUUUCUGCCCUCAAGCACGGCUUGUGUGUUGGGUGUGGUCCCCCCGGGGACCUGCCCGAAAGGCAGCGGCGACGUCCGUCUGGUCCUCGAGCGUAUGGGGCUCUGUCACUCGCUCGGGAAGGACCUGCGGGGGUUGGUCACCACCAUAUUUUACCACGGUUGACCUCGGAUCAGGUAGGAGUUACCCGCUGAACUUAAGCAUAUCAAAA
rnacentral:rRNA from 1 species